AAAAAGAGCACUGUAAUAUUUCCCUACUUCUUUUUGCUUCAUAUAUUUUCUCAAAAGCAUUAAGACAUGUUGCCAUGUUGGGCCAGAUCAAGAAAAUAAAACACCAUUUUCUCAGAUUAGAUUUGGCUGCCAUCCAUUGAUUAGGAAACUCUUAAAGGGAGAAGAAGACAACUCACAGAAGAGUCAUGACUGGCUGGCAGGCAAUAGCAUGCAGGUCCUUCACAGUCUGUCCAGUCAUUUCUUUACCUUCAGGCCAUUCUUUUUCCUCUUUCUCCUCCCCCUCUCUUUCUCCUCCCCCUCUCUUUCUCCUCCCCCUCUCUUUCUCCUCCCCCUCUCUUUCUCCUGGAACCGUUCUCCUCUCUUUUACCUCUUCAUCCUGCUCCUCAACUCCUUCGUUCUCCUCUUUUUCUCUCCCGCUCCCAUCAUCCUGGUCUCCUGCUGGGCGUGUCCAUGUUGGAGGCUGUCAACCUCCAGCAGCUGUGCCGGAGAGACCGGUCCCCACUUGAAACAAGGAAAUCAUACAUUUCAUUUUUACUUUGAAUAAUGACAAUAAAAAAUACAGUUGAUUUUUAUAUAAAUGUGAUUUUUUUUCAGUCUCACACUCCUACAGUGUGGUAUUAGCUCUGGGUAAUUAUGGCAUAGUAACCAUUGCUCAUGUGCAACACAUUGACAUGGUGGUAUUUAGCCCAAAAUAGGGCAAAGGUCACCACUAUCACGGCAAGGAUGCGGUUGGUCUUCCUGGUGGUGCCAGCAGGUGUGGCCGGACACUAAGGUGUGAGCAGAUUGCCAUGAUGCCGAAGGGGACCAGGAACGCAGCGACCGUCUCUAGGGAAUAAUGAAACACCGGGUAGAAUGGAUGAGACAAGAAACAAUUGGAUUUGAUUUACUUCAUUAUUAAAGUGUCUUGCAUCUUCAGGAUUCCCAGCCCACUUACGUUUUAGUAAGAGUGUCUUCAAUGAAUGUAAUUACAUAUUGUAUCUAGUCAAAUUGCAGUUAUUGUCUGUUACAAUUAAUUGCAUUAAGAACAAUGUUUGACUGAUUGAUUAUACUGUGUUGAAGAUAUAUCCAUAUCUGUUUAGAAUACUUGUGGAUAGAAUAAACAAAAAUCUGCAACAUAUUUUAUGGACAACUGAGAACACAAUAUGAGAACAUGUGCUGUACUAAAAUCAAUAAAAAUGCAAGAUGAAGGAAUAUUCUGGUGGGCGGACGCGCUUGGACAUGAAGGUCCAAUCCCCACGCAGGUGUCGAUCGACGCCCAUCAGGGUGACCAACAGGAGGCUGAGGUACAUGAAAGAUGCUGCAGAUGUAGUGCAGGAGCUUACACACGCCCUCUCCCAACUCCCAGACUUCGCCCGUGAAGAACUGGCAAAUUAAGAAAGGAGCGGUGAGCAGGAUGAUCGAGCAGGUUGGGAGGACCGGUGAGCAGGAUGAUCGAGCAGGUUGGGAGGAGCGGUGAGCAGGAUGAUCGAGCAGGUUGGGAGGAGCGGUGAGCAGGAUGAUCGAGCAGGUUGGGAGGAGCGGUGAGCAGGAUGAUCGAGCAGGUUGGGAGGAGCGGUGAGCAGGACGAUCGAGCAGGUUGGGAGGAGCGGUGAGCAGGACGAUCGAGCAGGUUGGGAGGAGCGGUGAGCAGGACGAUCGAGCAGGUUGGGAGGAGCGGUGAGCAGGACGAUCGAGCAGGUUGGGAGGAGCGGUGAGCAGGACGAUCGAGCAGGUUGGGAGGAGCGGUGAGC
ensembl:lncRNA